rnacentral:rRNA from 1 species
UGAGGAAUUUUCCGCAAUGGACGCAAGUCUGACGGAGCAACGCCGCGUGCAGGAGGACGCUUUUCGGAGUGUAAACUGCUUUUCUCUGGGACGAGAGUGGACGGUACCAGAGGAAGAAGCCCCGGCUAACUACGUGCCAGCAGCCGCGGUAAUACGUAGGGGGCGAGCGUUGUCCGGAGUUACUGGGCGUAAAGGGCAUGCAGGCGGUCAGACGCGUUUUGUGUGACAGCGGGUGGCUUAACUACCCGAGCAUACGAAAGACGGUGUGACUUGAGGGCUCGAGAGGGACACGGAAUUCCGGGUGGAGUGGUGAAAUGCGUAGAGAUCCGGAGGAACACCGAAGGCGAAGGCAGUGUCCUGGCGAGUGACUGACGCUGAGGUGCGAAAGCCAGGGGAGCGAACGGGAUUAGAUACCCCCGUAGUCC